GAUGAAGAACGUAGCGAAAUGCGAUACGUAAUGUGAAUUUCAGAAUUCAGUGAAUCAUCGAAUCUUUGAACGCAUAUUGCGCUCUUUGGUAUUCCGAAGAGCAUGCUUGUUUGAGUAUCAGUAAACACCUCAACCUCUUCUUGAUUUUUCAAAAGGAGGGUGGACUUGAGCUAUCCCAACAACCUUUACCGGUCGGCGGGCGGCUUGAAAUGCAGGUGCAGCUGGACUUUUAUCUGAGCUAAAAGCAUAUCUAUUUAGUCCUCGUCAAACAGGAUUAUUACUUUUGCUGCAGCUAACAUAAAGGAUAAUUGUCCUCUUUGCUGACUGAUGCAGGAUUUUACGACACUUUAUGUGUUGUUCAACUCGAUCUCAAAUCAAGUAAGACUACCCGCUGAACUUAAGCAUAUCAAUAAGCGGAGGA
rnacentral:misc_RNA from 1 species